AGCGGGAUCCAUUCGGUGGUAACACUGAUGAAGAUCUAGCGGCGAACGGGUGAGUAACACGUGAACAACCUGCCCCGAAGUCCGGGAUAACCCGGGGAAACCCGAGCUAAUACCGGAUACCCCCUACUGAUCGCAUGGUCGGUAGAGGAAAGAUUUAUCGCUUCGGGAGGGGUUCGCGGCCUAUCAGCUAGUUGGUGAGGUAACGGCUCACCAAGGCAUCGACGGGUAGCUGGUCUGAGAGGACGAUCAGCCACACUGGGACUGAGACACGGCCCAGACUCC
rnacentral:rRNA from 2 species